rnacentral:tRNA from 1 species
GCACCCGUAGCUCAGUGGAUUAGAGUAGCUGGCUUCGAACCAGUUGGUCGCAAGUUCGAAUCUUGCCGGGUGUACCA